UACGGGGGGGGCAAGCGUUGUUCGGAAUUACUGGGCGUAAAGGGCUCGUAGGCGGCCAACUAAGUCGGAUGUGAAAUCCCCAGGCUCAACUUGGGAACUGCAUCCGAUACUGGAUGGCUUGAAUUCGGGAGUGGGAUGCAGAAUUCCAGGUGUAGCGGUGAAAUGCGUAGAUAUCUGGAAGAAUACCGGUGGCGAAGGCGGCAUCCUGGACCGACAUUGACGCUGAGGAGCGAAAGCUAGGGGAGCAAACAGG
rnacentral:rRNA from 1 species